rnacentral:rRNA from 1 species
UGGGGAAUAUUCGGCAAUGGGGGCAACCCCGACCGAGCAACGCCGCGUGAGUGAUGAAGGCCUUCGGGUUGUAAAACUCUGUUGGAUGGGAAGAUAAUGACGGUACCAUCUGAGGAAGCCCCGGCUAACUACGUGCCAGCAGCCGCGGUAAUACGUAGGGGGCAAGCGUUAUCCGGAAUCACUGGGCGUAAAGGGUGCGUAGGCGGGAGAUCAAGCAAGGGGUGAAAGGCAUUGGCUCAACCAAUGUAAGCCUUUUGAACUGAUUUUCUUGAGUGCAGGAGAGGUAAGUGGAAUUCCUAGUGUAGAGGUAAAAUUCGUAGAUAUUAGGAGGAACACCGGUGGCGAGGGCGACUUACUGGACUGUAACUGACGCUGAGGCACGAAGGCGUGGGGAGCAAACA